GGUGGCAUAGCUCAGUGUUAGAGCAUGUGCUUUGCAUGCAUGAGGUGCUGGGUUAAUACCCAGAACCUUCA
rnacentral:tRNA from 1 species